rnacentral:tRNA from 1 species
GUGGGUAUAGCUCAGCUGGUUAGAGCACCAGAUUGUGGUUCUGGGGGUCGUCGGUUCAAAUCCGAUUACCCACC